GGUGAGGUGGGUGAGUGGCUGAAACCACCAGUUUGCUAAACUGACGUACGGGAAACUGUACCGGGGGUUCGAAUCCCCCCCUCACCG
rnacentral:tRNA from 1 species